AGAGUUUGAUCAUGGCUCAGGACGAACGCUGGCGGCGUGCUUAAUACAUGCAAGUCGAGCGAGAAGCCACCGCUCCGUAAGGAGUGGUGGUGGAAAGCGGCGAACGGGUGAGUAACACGUGAGGAACCUGCCCCGGAGACCGGGAUAAGCCGGGGAAACCUGGUCUAAUACCGGAUAUCCCCAGUGGAGCGCAUGCUCCGCCGAGGAAAUGGAUUCCGCUCCGGGAUGGUCUCGCGGCCUAUCAGCUUGUUGGCGGGGUAACGGCCCACCAAGGCGACGACGGGUAGCCGGCCUGAGAGGGCGACCGGCCACACUGGGACUGAGACACGGCCCAGACUCCUACGGGAGGCAGCAGUGGGGAAUAUUGCACAAUGGGCGCAAGCCUGAUGCAGCGACGUCGCGUGAGGGAUGACGGCCUUCGGGUUGUAAACCUCUUUCAGCAGGGAAGAAGCGAAAGUGACGGUACCUGCAGAAGAAGCGCCGGCUAACUACGUGCCAGCAGCCGCGGUAAUACGUAGGGCGCAAGCGUUGUCCGGAAUUAUUGGGCGUAAAGAGCUCGUAGGCGGCUUGUCACGUCGGGUGUGAAAGCCCGGGGCUUAACCCCGGGUCUGCAUUCGAUACGGGCUAGCUAGAGUGUGGUAGGGGAGAUCGGAAUUCCUGGUGUAGCGGUGAAAUGCGCAGAUAUCAGGAGGAACACCGGUGGCGAAGGCGGAUCUCUGGGCCAUUACUGACGCUGAGGAGCGAAAGCGUGGGGAGCGAACAGGAUUAGAUACCCCAGUAGUCC
rnacentral:rRNA from 1 species